GUGUCAGCCGCCGCGGUAAUACGAAGGGUGCAAACGUUGCUCGGAAUCAUUGGGCGUAAAGCGCACGUAGGCGGCUUCGAAAGUCGGAUGUGAAAUCCCAUGGCUCAACCAUGGACGUGCACCCGAAACUGCGAGGCUUGAGUACUGAAGAGGAUCGCGGAAUUCCCGGUGUAGAGGUGAAAUUCGUAGAUAUCGGGAGGAACACCAGUGGCGAAGGCGGCGAUCUGGGCAGAUACUGACGCUGAGGUGCGAAAGCGUGGGGAGCAAACAGGAUUAGAAACCCUAGUAGUCC
rnacentral:rRNA from 1 species